rnacentral:lncRNA from 1 species
UUUUCUUUGUUAGUGAAGGAUCCUACAGAGAUGAGCACACAGUUUCUUUAUCCAACAAUGAAUUAUCAGUCCCGUUUAAGGGCACAGGUUUCUAUGCCUCAUAGCCUAACAUUGAGUCAACUUCAUAGCUUAGCUCAAAUUCCACCUCCAAGAAUCCUGUCUCAUCCACACACCACAUGGCUAGGAAAGAGACAUAUCAGGAAAUAAUUGAGAACUUGGAUAAUAGACUGCCCCCAUAUAAAGGCAACAGGAUGGAGAGUAGCUGCACUAGUCACCUACAAAAGGCAAGCAAGGUGUUAAGCUGAUGAACGUUAGCAUGGGGAGGGAGACCAAAGUGUCACAAAAAUUAGCCUUUCCUAUUUAGAUUGCCCACAAAGCUGAUGACAUUGAGAAACUACCCAGGACUCCUGAAUAAUUCACAUGCAUUUCUCACCAGCUGAUUUUACUCAUUUAAAGGUUUCUUUUUUCUGUGACCCAGAAAUAUACAGACAUACACCGGAGCAUGUUAUCAGUCUAAACCUCAUGAACAGAGACAUGCACUAGCUACUGUGUGGAAUUAUGCAAAAAGCAGACUUUACUUCUUUUAAGUUUCAAAUGCAUCAGCGUCCAGAAGAUACCACAUCAAAGGGUAUUGUGGCCAAGGGAAGCCAACUACCUUCCAUACUCCACAAUGGAACCCAUCUAAAAGGGUUGCUUGAUGGCAAUACUUAAAUCCUUUCUUCUAAAGCUCAGCUGGGAGAAGUUACACUGAUGUACCCACAAGGUGGAACCGUGAGACUUAAAGUGGCAAGGACAUGGAAGAAUCUGCUGGAAGAAGUCAGCCACCUACGUUAACCAGGAGAUUUUAUUUACAUAAAAGUCUCCCCCAGUAAAGAUAAUUGCAUUGGAACAGACUUUUUGAAAUGUUGAUGAUCACCCACAGGACUAUCUAUGUGAAAAUAAUAAUGACCUUAAACCAACAACAACUUGAAAACUUGAUUUGUGUUUCUUAUAAGAAGCCAACUCCUUAGAGUGACUGGACUGAGGAUUCCACAAGGAAUUUGGACUUGAAAUUUUCAGAAGU